rnacentral:rRNA from 1 species
AAGUCCGGUAACGGAUUUAGCUUACUGAUACUAAUCGGUCGAGAGGCUUGACCAUAU